rnacentral:lncRNA from 1 species
UUUCCUUAGCCCACCUGAUCCUUAGGGCAGAGCCUCCUCGCCUGCCCCUUGCAUCUCUCACAAGCAUCCUAUCUUAAUAAAUCUAUUUCUUAGCCAUCACUUUGUCUCUAGCUGAAUUCCUUCUGUGCUGAGACACAAAGAAGCUGAGCCUCAGUAAGUCCAGACACCAGGUGUGUGGAUUCCAGAGUUUCCUUUGUGGCUCAGCAGUUAAUGAAUCCAACUAGUAUCCAUGAGGACACAGGUUCAAUCCCUGGCCUCGCUCAGUGGGUUAAGCAUCCGGCAUUGCCAUGAGCUGUGGUGUAGGUCGAAGAUGCAGCUUGGAUCCCACGUUGCUGUGGCUGUGGUGUAGACCAGCAACUGUAUCUCCGAUUUGCCCCCUAGCCUGGGAACUUCCAUAUGCCAUGAGUGCAGCCCUAAAAAACAAAAUUAAAUUAAAUUAAAUUCUAAAAAAUAUAAAUAAAUAAAUAAAUAAAACUGUGGGUUCAAGUCCUGAUCUGGGUUCUGGCUGGGUUCCAGCAGGUGGUGUUUUUGGUUUCCAGGUGAUUGAAAGGUAACUCUCUUGGGCCAUGAGAAUUCAUUUCCCCUGCGUUCCUCACCUGUGGCUGUGUAAUGAGGUAGCAGGUUCAGAUUCAUUCAUGCAACAAACUUCCUGAGGGCUGAGUAGAAUCCAGACAUUGGCAGACAUAAUGGAUGUGUCUCAAUCAUGGUGUGUUCCAAUCUCUGUUGGGUUUUUCUAAAAUAUGUCAAUGUUAAAUAUUUUCUUUAUUUCUGACUAUAAUAUUCUAAUGAACUAGAUAAUUCAAGGAUUCCUGUGCCUUUUAGAAUAUCAUAUUUCAAAAACAUAACUUGGAAAAUCAACUCAAUUUCUCAGUCUUCUCUCUUUUUUUCCCCAGGAUUAGUUAUUUAAUUCACUGUUGAGGUUUGGAUUCCAGACAAAUUUGAAUUUUUGUGAAAUGCUAUUAAGUUCAAAAAGUAUUUUGAUUUAUGUUUUAUAAUAUUCAAGUAGGAUGAGGCACCAACUGUGUAUCUUGAAGUUGCACAAAAUGAAUGGCAGAUGUUGAGCUCAUAAACCUGUCUACAUUUAAACUCCAAUCUCAGCACUUUAAGCCACUUAUAAAUUGAGAUAAAAUACAAAUACAUGGGAAAAUGUUUGGGGGGAGUUCAUUCUUUCAUACCUCAAAAAUUUCAUGCCUCAAAAAUGCAGGCAAAUCUCAAAGCAGAAGAUUCUAGAAAGUAUAACAAAUGGUUUUGUUAGGUGACUAUUGACUGAAAUUGCCCACUUUGGCCAGGCACUUAGCCGCUGGCAUGAGCUGUCUCAUAGCAGAAGGCCCUGAUAAGGACCGUGGUGCUGCCCCAAAGACUAACAGGAGGGCUUGGGAGGGGCCAGUAGGAGGGAGGAGAUGACCAACCUCCCAGGAUCCUUGGCGCUGGAAUCCACCUUGGCUGAGAGACAUGAGAACCCCCAAGAAGGACCCUGCGCCAGACCAGGUACAAACUUAGCAAGAUCAUUGGCCAGAGACAACCCAGAAACUAACCCCAUUCCCAUAAACCCUGAGACUGCGAGCCACAUGGCAGAGGCCUCCUCCUGGGUUCCCUCACCUGCUGCUCUCCGCCCAGGUGCCCCUUCCCAAUAACAUCUCCUGCUUUGUCAGCCCCUGGUCUCCUCCGACAAUUCAUUUCUGAGUGUGAGACAAGAGCCCACUCUUGGGCCCUGCAGCCAUUUCCUUCCAGCUUUGAAUAAAGUGAAUUCGAAGACUGUCUGGUCUCCUUUCUUCAGUGAACAGUGAUGCUUACUGACGCAGAAGAAAGUAGGAUCCCCACGCUCGGAAAUCUAACACCGGCUAAGAGCAUGUUCCAAAUCUCCCAAUUUAAAUGAUCCCAGAAAUCUGUGCACUUUUGGGGAACCCACUCUCCCAGCUUGCUUUGAGAAUCAGAGGUUCAUUGUAAUAAGCUGAAAUAAUACUGUGUAAAAACCUACCUUUUUAUUUUCUCAAAAGGGAGGGUUAGUAUUUCCUAAUUAAAAUUAAUAACAAUAAUAAUUAGACGCAGAUUAAAUUAUACCAAGGAAUGCAGUUCUAUUUUAACACGUUUUUAUUUCAUUAUUUUAUAGAGAGCACAAUUAAAUUCUGCUUAAAAAAAUGUUCACACUGUAACAUGCAGGACCCUGUGGGGCCUCGGUGGGGGGGGCCCUCCCCCUCCCCCCAGCUCCUCUCCAAGUACCCAGAUCACAUUCCUGAGCUGUUUCAAUGUGAAAAUCCCUCCCACCAGAUAGAAGGUGUUAACCACUCAAUGACCUUGAGCAGAGCCCCCAGGUCGCCAGAAGCCUAAGGAUUGUGACCUCAGCAUCAGCCAGUCAGAGAACUGUGCACAAACCCAUCUCCCACCCUGCCAGCCCUCCCCCACCUGGCUUUUAAAUGUGCUUUAUAAUUUUGGUUCAGGGAGUUGAGGAUAUUUGGGGGUACGAGCCACCCAUCUCCAUGCAUGGCCUCCAGUAAACCCUUCUCUGCUCCAAACUCUGAUGUUCUGGUGUGUUUGGGCUUCGCUGUGUGUCACACAGAAUUUUAUGAACAACAUGAGUUAUUACCUGAGAACCAAGUGGAGUUCAUCUAAAAGAUGAAGUUAAAACAGUAAUUCCUCAGUAAAUGUCUCUAAAUAUAUUCAACAUGUCUCAAAGUGGUACGGUCAGCCUAGAGGCAAGCGAUAUUUCAAAACACGGUAGCUUUUUAUGAACUCCGGAGUAACGCGUCACCUGCUUCAGCCUGCCCUGCUCCAGCUCUGAGAACACCCACCUGGAGGAAGAGGUGUGACACUGCAAGUGCCCAACUGACUUAAAACAUGUCUUUCACUCCUCUUUUUGGCAGUUUGUAAAUAUUUUCUGUGCAUUUAACAUGUAUUGAUUGCCUUAAUUUCCUAAAAAUAGAUCAGCACAGGUCAAAUCAUCCUAUUAUAUUUGAGACCUUUAAGAAUCUUUUAGAGGAGUUCCCACUGUGGCGAAGUGGGUCAAGGAUCCAGCAUUGUCUCUGCAGUGGCUUGGGUUGCUGCCGAGGCACGGUACAAUUCCCAGCUCUGUACAGUGGCUUAAGGAUCAAGUGUUGCAACAGCUGUGGCUCA